rnacentral:rRNA from 1 species
GACGAACGCUGGCGGCGUGCUUAACACAUGCAAGUCGAACGGAAAGGCCCUGCUUUUGUGGGGUGCUCGAGUGGCGAACGGGUGAGUAACACGUGAGUAACCUGCCCUUGACUUUGGGAUAACUUCAGGAAACUGGGGCUAAUACCGGAUAGGAGCUCCUGCUGCAUGGUGGGGGUUGGAACGUCUCGGCGGUUGGGGAUGGACUCGCGGCUUAUCAGCUUGUUGGUGGGGUAGUGGCUUACCAAGGCUUUGACGGGUAGCCGGCCUGAGAGGGUGACCGGCCACAUUGGGACUGAGAUACGCCCCAGACUCCUACGGGAGACAGCAGUGGGGAAUAUUGCACAAUGGGCGGAAGCCUGAUGCAGCGGCGCCGCGUGCGGGAUGACGGCCUUCGGGUUGUAAACCGCUUUCGCCUGUGACGAAGCGUGAGUGACGGUAAUGGGUAAAGAAGCACCGGCUAACUACGUG